GAACACCAAAAGCGAAGGCAGCCUUCUAGGCAGAUACUGACACUCAGGAGCGAAGGUGUGGGUAGCGAACAGGAUUAGAUACCCUGGUAGUCCACACAGUCAACGAUGAUCACUAAGUUUUGGUGAGAUUAUAAAUUAUCAGAGCUGCCGCAAAUGCAUUAAGUGAUCCGCCUGGGGAGUACGUCCGCAAGGAUGAAACUCAAAGGAAUUGACGGGGACCCGCACAAGCGGUGGAGUAUGUUCUUUAAUUCGAUGCAACGCGAAGAACCUUACCUGGGCUUGACAUCACCGAAAUCACCUUUAUACGGUGAGUGCCUCGAUUUAUCGAGGAAUCGUGUGACAGGUGCUGCAUGGCUGUCGUCAGUUCGUGUCGUGAGAUGUUGGGUUAAGUCCCGCAACGAACGCAACCCCUGUCUUUAGUUGCCAGCAUUAAGUUGGGGACUCUAGAGAGACUGCCAAGGUGACAACUUGGAGGAAGGUGGGGACAACGUCAAGUCAUCAUGGUCCUUACGUC
rnacentral:rRNA from 1 species